GCAUCUCAACAACAAUAGGAUCGUUUCCAUGGGAACGAACUGCUUCCACGGACUCCACAGUUUGGAGACGCUAGAUUUGAACUACAACAGUCUGGUCGAGUUUCCGACGGCCAUCCAUUCGCUCAGUCACCUCAAGGAGCUUGGUUUCCAUAGCAACAACAUCCAGUCCAUCCCGGAGCACGCCUUCACCGGGAACCCCUCACUGAUCACCAUGUAGGUACCACCGACUCAUCUCAAUCCCAACU